rnacentral:rRNA from 1 species
CCUACGGGAGGCAGCAGUGAGGAAUAUUGCGCAAUGGGCGAAAGCCUGACGCAGCGACACCGCGUGAAGGAUGAAGGCUUUAGGGUCGUAAACUUCUGUUAAGGAAAUGGCGGUACCACUAGAGAAAGCACCGGCUAACUUCGUGCCAGCAGCCGCGGUAAGACGAGGGGUGCAAACGUUAUUCGGAAUGAUUGGGCGUAAAGGGUGCGUAGGCGGCUUAUUAAGUCAACUGUUAAAUUUCUCAGCCUAACUGAGAGUGUGCGGUAGAAACUGAUAGGCUAGAGGGUGGAAGAGAGAAGUGGAAUUCUCGGAGUAGCGGUAAAAUGCGUAGAUCUCGAGAGGAACACCGAUGGCGAAGGCAGCUUCUUGGUCCAUUCUGACGCUGAGGCACGAAAGCGUGGGGAGCAAACAGGAUUAGAUACCCUUGUAGUC